CUACGGAGGAUCCAAGCGUUAUCCGGAAUCAUUGGGUUUAAAGGGUCCGUAGGCGGGCAAUUAAGUCAGAGGGGAAAGUUUGCGGCUCAACCGUAAAAUUGCCUUUGAAACUGGUUGUCUUGAAUUAUUAUGAAGUGGUUAGAAUAAGUAGUGUAGAGGUGAAAUGCAUAGAUAUUACUUAGAAUACCAAUUGCGAAGGCAGAUCACUAAUAAUAUAUUGACGCUGAUGGACGAAAGCGUGGGGAGCGAACAGGAUUAGAAACCCCGGUAGUCC
rnacentral:rRNA from 1 species